rnacentral:tRNA from 1 species
GGCCCCAUAGUUCAAGGGAUAGAAUAGUGGUUUCCUAAACCAUAGAUCCAAGUUCGAGUCUUGGUGGGGCUACCA